rnacentral:rRNA from 1 species
UUGAACGCUGGCGGCAGGCCUAACACAUGCAAGUCGAGCGGUAGCACAGAGAGCUUGCUCUCGGGUGACGAGCGGCGGACGGGUGAGUAAUGUCUGGGAAACUGCCUGAUGGAGGGGGAUAACUACUGGAAACGGUAGCUAAUACCGCAUAACGUCGCAAGACCAAAGUGGGGGACCUUCGGGCCUCAUGCCAUCAGAUGUGCCCAGAUGGGAUUAGCUAGUAGGUGGGGUAACGGCUCACCUAGGCGACGAUCCCUAGCUGGUCUGAGAGGAUGACCAGCCACACUGGAACUGAGACACGGUCCAGACUCCUACGGGAGGCAGCAGUGGGGAAUAUUGCACAAUGGGCGCAAGCCUGAUGCAGCCAUGCCGCGUGUGUGAAGAAGGCCUUCGGGUUGUAAAGCACUUUCAGCGGGGAGGAAGGCGGUGAGGUUAAUAACCUCAUCGAUUGACGUUACCCGCAGAAGAAGCACCGGCUAACUCCGUGCCAGCAGCCGCGGUAAUACGGAGGGUGCAAGCGUUAAUCGGAAUUACUGGGCGUAAAGCGCACGCAGGCGGUCUGUCAAGUCGGAUGUGAAAUCCCCGGGCUCAACCUGGGAACUGCAUUCGAAACUGGCAGGCUAGAGUCUUGUAGAGGGGGGUAGAAUUCCAGGUGUAGCGGUGAAAUGCGUAGAGAUCUGGAGGAAUACCGGUGGCGAAGGCGGCCCCCUGGACAAAGACUGACGCUCAGGUGCGAAAGCGUGGGGAGCAAACAGGAUUAGAUACCCUGGUAGUCCACGCCGUAAACGAUGACUGCUAGGUGUCGGGUAGCAAAGCUAUUCGGUGCCGCAGCUAACGCAAUAAGCAGUCCACCUGGGGAGUACGUUCGCAAGAAUGAAACUCAAAGGAAUUGACGGGGGCCCGCACAAGCGGUGGAGCAUGUGGUUUAAUUCGAUGCAACGCGAAGAACCUUACCUGGUCUUGACAUCCACAGAACUUUCCAGAGAUGGAUUGGUGCCUUCGGGAACUGUGAGACAGGUGCUGCAUGGCUGUCGUCAGCUCGUGUUGUGAAAUGUUGGGUUAAGUCCCGCAACGAGCGCAACCCUUAUCCUUUGUUGCCAGCGGUUAGGCCGGGAACUCAAAGGAGACUGCCAGUGAUAAACUGGAGGAAGGUGGGGAUGACGUCAAGUCAUCAUGGCCCUUACGACCAGGGCUACACACGUGCUACAAUGGCAUAUACAAAGAGAAGCGACCUCGCGAGAGCAAGCGGACCUCAUAAAGUAUGUCGUAGUCCGGAUUGGAGUCUGCAACUCGACUCCAUGAAGUCGGAAUCGCUAGUAAUCGUAGAUCAGAAUGCUACGGUGAAUACGUUCCCGGGCCUUGUACACACCGCCCGUCACACCAUGGGAGUGGGUUGCAAAAGAAGUAGGUAGCUUAACCUUCGGGAGGGCGCUUACCACUUUGUGAUUCAUGACUGGGGUG